ensembl:antisense
UCCUCUCGCUGUGAGCUGAAGAUUACUUCUAACUUGUAGGUUUGAGAAAAGAUGAAAACGGAACCCCAAGAAGCCGAGUGAGACGAAUGGCGAGCUUCACAAUGAGUAGGAAAUGCCGUCGGUCUAAUAGUGGUUGGGUGGAUUGUCGCCCGCAUCGCGUCUCAGUUGCCCAGACGUCCAGCAUAGCAACGGGAGGGUCGGAACUCAGUCCGACGUGUGCCCACCAUGCCAUCAACUCCAGAAUCCAGUUUACAGUCGCCACCACCUUAAAACUCAGGGCUCAGCCCUCUUAUCAAUGCCGCAAAAGAGUCUGCUGGACCGGGUGGGAAAGAGGAAGGCCUGGCUGCCGCCUUGGCCUCUUGCGGUAUACCACCGAGCAGUAAAAUCAAGAUUAUGUGUUCUAGAUAGCUUUUCUGUUGCUUUGAUAAAACUGAACAAAGCAGUUUGGAAGAGGAAGUGUUUACUGGGCUUAUCACCACGGUUUCGGGAAGUCCUGGGAAGAACUCAAACAGAAACCGUAAACUAAAGAAAGCUGCCUCCUGGCUUGGGCUCAGCUGUCCUUGUGCUCAGUUCACGCCUGCGUGAGAAUGGACAGGCCACAAGGGAUGAGCCCUACUAAAUCAAUUAAUUAGCAAGCAACCCCUUUUCCCAAGUGACUGCGAGGAUAGUAUAAAAUUUUUAGUUGGUUCACAAGCUAAUAGGGUUUCCUAGGGCUUCAUCCAUCCUUAGUUUGCAACAGUUCCCAACCCCAAUAAACCCAUAUAAAAACCACACAAUCCAGUUAUAAAUAUAAGCUAUGUACCUAGACUGGACCGCUCUAGCACUGUGCUAACUUAUUCCCCAGCUGCGAGACCCUUUGCUAUUUGCAGUUUCUCCUGUUCUGCUCCUCCUGUUCUUCAGUCCCCUUCCCUUCUCCUCUGUAACUGUCCCUACUCUCCAAGACCUCCCACCUCUCCCCUCCCCUGCCCAAUUACAGGUCCCAGCCUUUAUUGACCAGUUAAAAUGGGGAAGAGGAUGCCCUCAAUACCCUCCCCUUUCCCUCAUCCCAGUUUCCUUUCCAGAUUAACCCUUUAGCUCCUGACAUUCUCUCCCUUUUCUACCAUCCACUCCCACUACAAAUUUUAAGAGAGCAUACAGAGCCAAAUACAGUAGAAUAAUAAUUACACAAAAAUAGAACCUGGUGUGGUAGCUCACACAUUUUAUCCCAGUACUGGGAGGCAGAAGCAGAUGGACCACUAUGAGUUUGAGUUUGAGACCAGCCUGUUCUACACAGUGUGUUCCAGACCAAGCAGGAUUAUAUAGUAAGACCCUGUUAAAGAAGAAAAAGUGCAUAUGCACAGAGAUAAACCCAAGAGAUGAAACACAAUGUUAGCAAUGGCUCUCUUAAAGGGAUGUGAGAUUAUGGGUUACUACAAUUUUGUUAUCCAUAGUUUCUGUGUUUUAUAAUAGUCUACAUCCAAUAUGUGUUACUUUGGUAAUUGUUUUAAUGAUUUAAUAAAUGUCAUGAAAAUGAGAACACUUAUAUGUUUAACAAGAUUUAAUAUAAAGCACUGAUUCUUUG